AGAAAUGGUUCUCUGUGUUGUGAGGCUGCAAGAUCACCCAGGGAGAGUGGGAUCAAAUAGUCCAGAACAUCUGACACACUGAAUGUAUGUGAGUACAACGUUCAUAGCUUUAAGAAAAAGGAAAAAGAAAAACUGUCUUGCAUAUGACUUAAAGUGCUUUGGAGUAUAUAGAUGGUUUGUGAAUUAAUCUGGUUAAUUGCUGGAUCCUUGGCAUGGACAAGCUCUCGCUGGUGGGGGCAGGGGGAUUGUAUGUCUGUCUGUGAUGAGGGCUUGACUUUUCAUUUAAGGAUGCGCCUUCUAUUUUUGCCAAGAAUUAUUGUCUCUCAUAAUUGCUUUGCUUCUAGUAAAACUUUGAAAGCCUGCUUUCUGACCACAACUGUGUAUAUUUCCCACUUCUCCCACUCUCUGACUCCUACUGAAGACAUGACUUGUCAUCUUUUUAUCUUUCUCUGUCAUUCUGGCCCUUCAGAUACCACAUUUAGUUUUAUUUGCCUUGCCUAAAUCCAAAUCAGCCAAAUGGACAGUUCCCUCUAACCUUCUUUUUCUCUAUCAACUAUCUUCUGCCAUACUAACCUUGCUAAUUGUCAAGUUAGUAUUUAUUUGUGUGAUUAUUUCAUGUGUCUUUUACUAGAUCAAAUGCUCCAUUCAGGCCAGGAUCAGGCUUCACGCUUGUUUGCUGAUGUAUCAUAGAUGGUCAUAUGAUGGUCAUUUUCCAGGCUGCCCGACCCUAUUUGGUCCUGAGUGGAAUUUGGCCACUAAAGCGUUUGGUCCAGCCCUUUCAUGGUUGUUCAAAAUUUAUGUUUUUUGGGGGCUCCAAAUUUUCCUAGAUUGUCUCAAUUUUGUAUAAAACAACCUCUUGCAGUCUUGGAAAGAUGAGGCUAUCUGGUGUGAACAUCACUGAUUUUUUUCUUCCUUAGACUUUAAAAUAGCUCUGUUUCUGUCUAUUGUCUAUUUCCUAUUACUCAAAAUAACUUUGUACCCAUAUCAAAUUUUAAUCUUAACACUUUCCAUUUCUUUAUAAACUUUAUUAAAUCAGCUUUUCCUCCCUGAUUUGCCUUUCUCCAUGGGUCUAGUUCCUUCCCCACAGGUAGAAAAAUCAUCAUGCUUUUAUGUCUCUUACCUUGGAAAAAAUUCAGCCAAUCAAAAUCAAAACAAGCCUCCUUCACCUCACUAUUAUCUUAUCCUCCACCCACUUAGCCACUUUUACCCAUGCAAAGUCUCUCCAGGACAGUCAAUGUUCUUUCCAAACUCAUGGUAAAUCCAACAAAAGUAGAAGCUAUUUUUAUUUUGUAGAACAGUGUAUUUCUAGUACCUCGCACAAUAUCUAAAAUGGUAGGGGCUCAAUAAUUAAAUGAGUUAAUUUUAGCUACCCUUUCACUUCCCACUCUCUACCUGAGUGUUAAAUUUUUGCUUCAAGCACUGCUUAAAUUACUCUUACCAAAAUAACCAACCAAAAUAGCUCCUUUCUCUAUUAGUCAAUCCAUGACCGCAUUUCAAAUACUUCUCUUCUAUGCUAUAUGAUAAUCUCAAUAACUUUUAAUUAUGUAUAUGCCUUAUCACUUCAUCAGAGCCUGAGCCCCUAGACUCAGGACAAUUAACCUGGUAUUUCCUUAGUCCUCACAACUUUUAACAAAGUCUUUGCUAGUCAGUAAUUACUAGUGAGUUGAAUUAAUACCUUUAAAUACUGAAGGAUCCUCUAAAAUUUCUCUGACCACAUUUGUGUUAUGUUUGAUUAAAUAUUUUGCUCCUAACAUAAAAAUGUGAAAAUAUAAUGGAAUAACCUUUUAUAAACCAUUUCAAAUCAUAAAAAUAAUAAUUAAAAAAAAAGAACCCUGUGCUGGGAGUUCCCAUUGUAGCUUAGCGGUUAAUGAACCCCUCUAGUAUCAAUGAGGAUGCAGAUUUGAUCCCUGGCCUCACUCAUUGGGUUAAGGAUCUGGUAUUGCUGCGGCUAUAGUGUAGGCCGGCAGCUGCAGCUCCAAUUUGACCCCUGGUCUGGGAACCUCCAUUUGCCAUGGGUGUGGCUCUAAAAAAAAAUGUUAGUUAUUAUUUAGUGAAACAGAUAUUGAAUACAGGUUUUAAAACAUGGAUUAUUGCAAUUAUAAUGGCAUUCUCUGAUAUGUACCUACAUUCAUGUAAUGAAUUAGCAAAUUUCAUCAAUUCUAUAAUGCACCUUUUUUUGUAAAAAAAAUUUUCCACCUCUAAUAAAACUGAAGCACAUUUUAUUACAGUCCAAAAUAGUGUAACUUUAGCAUGUUUUCCUUUUAUGUGAUACAUAAAACAGCAGAGUCUAUGAUAGCUCAAUAUUUUAAUUUUUUAGAUUACCAGACAUUGGUGAGUGAGCGUAUGUAUGUAUGUGUGAAUGUGGCGAUGAAUUCUGAAGGAAAGGUUUUACUUCCUCACUUAUGUCUGUAUAGAAGUCCUUGCUAUUUUAAAUCAUGAAAAUCACUACCAGAAACCCCCAUAAAAUUCAACUAGUGAAACAAAGAAAUUAGUUAAUUUCACUGCUUGAGUUAUAGUAUUUUAAAGAAAAUAUUUGUAUUACAUUUCCCUUUUAAACUUUCAAAUAGUCUUUGAAGUCAAGUAUGUUUUGGAUCAGUUUACAAAGAGAAAAAUGUUUAUGCUGAUUCCUUAGGAAGAAGUAUUAAAAAUAAAUCAAAAGUUUUUCUUCCCUCUGAGAUAAUAUCUUCUUUUGUAAAAUGGUCAUACAGUGGCCUAUUACAUAUAUCUUUCCUCCCAGUAAUUCAGCAGAAAUCAAGCUCUGUGUGGAACACUAAAGUGAACUAUAAUAUGUCAAAAAAAAAAAAUGCCUCUGAGUACUUUCCACUUGUAGGCAAAGACAGCAUUUAGUUAUAAUAAUAGAAAUUACAUUUUAAUCAAUAUGCCCUUUGCUAUUAAUCCAUUUUUGACUGCCUGAAGAGAUUUUAAUAACAUGUUAGGAAAAUCAUCUAUCUAACAAGUCAUUCCAAAGAGAAAAGGGCUGGAAUCCUUUCAUUUCUAAUUCAACAUGGACAGAAUUGACAUUAUAUUUUCCACUAUUGCUACUCUUGGAAGAAGCUAGCAUUUCUUGUAUACUCAAGAUAUCUUUUUUGGCAACUUAAAAAAUCACCUGUGGUUUUUACUGAUGGCACAAAUUGAACAGCCAUCAGCAAAUACACACUUUCAUACCUUUGGUCAAGACUAGAUAUUUGAUGAUAUUCUUUAAUGGUCAGUGUCUGCUAUAAUACAGAUAUAGCAAGGUUUUACUUUUACCAAAAUGUGCUUAUUUUUCGACUAAUUUUACUUUAUAAAAUAGCAGUGCACACUCAUUUCAGGAAUAUCAGAGAAUACAUAGAAGAUCCUUACAUAUUGCAACAAAGGUGCUAUUUUGUUGCCUAAUACAGCAUUUAUUAUCAAGCAUGCACAAUGCAUUCAAAUAUUUUUUUCUGUGUACAUAGUUCAAUUUUUUCAUUUAUUGUAAAUAUUUUUUCUUUUUGUUUGCUGUGUGUAAUUUUUUUUAAGUUUGUGUGAUAUUUCUUUGUAUAUAUUAAUCUUGAUUUAUGUGGCUAAUCCUCUAGCAUUUAAAAUAUAUUAUAUCCAAAUAAAUUAUAUUACCAGGAAAGUGCCAGGAUGAAUAUGCUCAUAACUUUUUGUGGCUAUGCUUUACUAUUUUAGUAGAAUCAACUCCCCCAAAUAAAAUAUUGCCAUAGCAGACACACAUAAUUCAAGUGUUUUACAUCCCUACUGUAUCCAAAAAGUAAUAUAGAAGAGUGAUUCAGGUUUGUUUUAGUAUUUAUCAGUCUGAUAGAAGCUGUCUUAGUCCAUUUGGGCUGCUUUAACAAAAUAUCAUUGAUUACCUGGCUUAUACAACAAAUAAUCAUUUCUUACGGUUCUGGAGGCUGGAAGUCCAAGAUCGAGGGACCAGCAGGUUGGGUGUCUGGUGAGUCCCUGCUUCCUCAUCCGUAGACAGUCAUCUUUACAUGGAAGAUGAUGAGAGGAAGUUCUCCGGGGUCACUUACAAGGACACAAAUCCAAUUACGAGGCUCUACCUUCAUGACUUAAGCACCUCCCAAAGGCCCACCUCCAGAUACCAUCACGUUGAGGAUUUGGUUUCCAUAUAUGAACUUGGGGAAGAAGUGGGGGUGUAAACAUUCAGCCUAUAGCACAUGACAGUGCUCUUCUGACAUGGCAGUGCUUAUUUUGAUUUUUCUUCCUUCAUCCCUAAUGAGCAUUCAUAAGUUUCAUAUCACUCUUAUUCUCUGUUUUUAUUUUUUCCUUUAUUAAGUGUGCACUUAUGUUCUCAUCUGAGUCAUGUUUACUGAGAAUGAACUAAGAGGAGAGAACACAGCCUAGAACGUGGAGGUCAUAGGGAAGAAGGAAAGAAGGCAUUCUCCCCAGUCAGCAUCACUGCCUGCUGGAAAGUAAUCUUUUCCCCUGGAGACUUGUGAUGAAUUUGGCAUUUGUACUGAAUGCCAAAGCAAACAUGCAAUUUAGUGAAACUCCAGUCUGACUGUUUCUUGGCAUUUAUGUUGAUUAAAGGAAAAACGACUUACACUUUAACUUUCUUUUUUAAGCCACCUGUUAGCAGGUGGUAUCAGCACUGUUAACAGUAAAGGUUGGGAUCUUUCUACAUUAAAGUAAGAACAUAGAGGAAAUCAGAACAUUUAUGGUCUAUCUACAGUGUUUGGAGUGGACUGAAGUUUCCGUCCUUUUUUUUUUUUUUCUGUCAAUAGACAUGGAAUGUUUUUCCAAAUCCAUUUCAUCGAUCUGUAUUUUUCUAGUGCCUAGAAUAAUGCCUGUCGUAUGGGAAAAGUUCAAGAAAUGCAUAAUUAUCUCUGCUUUACAGAUGAUAAAAACCAAUAUCAGAGAAACUGAGCAAUGUUUAUUAGAGUCACAGAGCUUGAAAGGGACAGUCUCAAAAUUCAGCAUUAGUUUGUCCAAACCCAAAUACUCUGCUCUAAUCAUUUCAUCUAACAUCUCUUCCUAAGAUAAUGUUUCUCUUGUUAUACAUUCAUUCAAAUGUAAGAUAGCCUAUAUAAUGCUGUAGUGCAAAUGACCUCAAUGGUUUAAAAACUCCUAGGCUUUCUUCUCAUGUACACUACGUAGUAUUUGCUCAUGAGCUGAAGGCUUUGCUCCUCACCAUCUUCUCUCCAGAAUCCAGGGUGACAUAGCAAAUCCUCCCUGGACCACUCAGGGUUAUGAAGACUAAGGAACAAAGUGCAAAAAUCUUGUCCUGUCUGGUUAAAGCUCCAUUCAGAAGUGGCAUGUGAUACCUCUGCUCUCAUUUUGCUGGUGAAAGCAAGUCACCUAAUUUCAUGAGUGUCAUCAAACUUCAUGGGAGCUGGAGGGUGGGAAAGUGAAGUUGGGUGGGCCCAAGCUUUUACAGGGGUGCUUAAAAGUGAAAGAGGAUGGUGGGAGAAACAGGAUGGCAGGAGUCUGAGAAGGAGCUAUGAAGAUGGU
rnacentral:lncRNA from 1 species